rnacentral:rRNA from 1 species
UUGAACGCUGUCGGAAUGCUUUACACAUGCAAGUCGAGCGGCAGCGCGGGGGCAACCCUGGCGGCGAGCGGCGAACGGGUGAGUAACAUAUCGGAACGUACCCAGUAGUGGGGGAUAACUAUCCGAAAGGAUAGCUAAUACCGCAUACGCCCUGAGGGGGAAAGUGGGGGAUCGCAAGACCUCGCGCGAUUGGAGUGGCCGAUGUCAGAUUAGCUAGUUGGUGGGGUAAAGGCCUACCAAGGCGACGAUCUGUAGCGGGUCUGAGAGGAUGAUCCGCCACACUGGGACUGAGACACGGCCCAGACUCCUACGGGAGGCAGCAGUGGGGAAUUUUGGACAAUGGGCGAAAGCCUGAUCCAGCCAUGCCGCGUGCGGGAAGAAGGCCUUCGGGUUGUAAAGCUCUUUCAGACGGAAAGAAAUCGGGCGCGUGAAUAGCGUGCCUGGAUGACGGUACUGUCAGAAGAAGCACCGGCUAACUACGU